rnacentral:rRNA from 1 species
GCUUGUCUCAAAGAUUAAGCCAUGCAUGUGUAAGUAUAAAUGCUUUGUACUGUGAAACUGCGAAUGGCUCAUUAUAUCAGUUAUAAUUUAUUUGAUGGUCUCUUUUUACUUGGAUAACCGUGGUAAUUCUCCGGCUAAUACAUGCAGCCCCUCGGGGCGUAUUUGUUAGACCUUAAACCAACGCCAGCAAUGGCUACCGGUGACAUAUGACAACUGCACGGAUCGCAUGACCUCGAGUCGGCGACGCUUCAUUCAAAUUUCUGCCCUAUCAACUUUCGAUGGUAAGGUAGUGGCUUACCAUGGUGGUAACGGGUAACGGGGAAUUGGGGUUCGAUUCCGGAGAGGGGGCCUGAGAAACGGCCACCACUUCUAAGGAAGGCAGCAGG